rnacentral:misc_RNA from 2 species
AAUUCUCAACCCCUCCAGUUGUGAUGGGGCUUGGAUAUGGGGGCUUGCGGGUCUUUACUGAUGUAAAGGUCAGCUCUCCUGAAAUACAUUAGCGGAACCGUUUGCAGUCCCGUCACUGGUGUGAUAAUUAUCUACGCUGUGAUGGAUUGCUCUCUGACUAGUUCAGCUGCUAAUCGUCCGUUAUGGACAAUGUUUAAUGAACU